rnacentral:rRNA from 1 species
CCCUGUAAUUGGAAUGAGUACACUUUAAAUCCUUUAACAAGGACCUAUUGGAGGGCAAGUCUGGUGCCAGCAGCCGCGGUAACUCCAGCUCCAAUAGCGUAUAUUAAAGUUGUUGCGGUUAAAACGUUCGUAGUUGAACUUGUGCUUCAUACGGGUAGUACAGCUAUAAUUGUAGUUUGUACUGUACCUUAUGUAUGCAAGCGUAUUACCGGUGGAGUUCUUACAUGUGUCUUAUACUUGUAUUUUUCACAUGUUCCUCCUAUUUAAACCUGCUUCAGUGCUCUUCAUCGAGUGUUGUUGUGGGCCGGUACAAUUACUUUGAACAAAUUAGAGUGCUUAAAGCAGGCUCCAAAUGCCUGAAUAUUUUGUGCAUGGAAUAAUGAAAUAAGACCUCUGUUCUACUUUCAUUGGUUUUUAGAUCAAGAGGUAAUGAUUAAUAGAAGCAGUUUGGGGGCAUUAGUAUUACGACGCGAGAGGUGAAAUUCUUGGACCGUCGUAAGACUAACUUAAGCGAAAGCAUUUGCCAAAGAUGUUUUCAUUAAUCAAGAACGAAAGUUAGAGGUUCGAAGGCGAUCAGAUACCGCCCUAGUUCUAACCAUAAACGAUGCCAGCUAGCAAUUGGGUGUAGCUACUAUCAUGGCUCUCUCAGUCGCUUCCCGGGAAACCAAAGCUUUUGGGCUCCGGGGGAAGUAUGGUUGCAAAGCUGAAACUUAAAGGAAUUGACGGAAGGGCACCACCAGGAGUGGA